CGCGUAGGCGGCUUGGUAAGUCGGAUGUGAAAACCCGAGGCUCAACCUCGGGCGUGCAUCCGAUACUGCCCGGCUAGAGGUAGGUAGGGGAGAUCGGAAUUCCUGGUGUAGCGGUGAAAUGCGCAGAUAUCAGGAGGAACACCGGUGGCGAAGGCGGAUCUCUGGGCCUUACCUGACGCUCAGGCGCGAAAGCGUAAGGGGAGCGAACA
rnacentral:rRNA from 1 species